CGUGUAACGGUCCGAAAUACUUUAAAAGCAACCAAAUUGUAAUUACUGAUGAGUUGCUUCAUCAACAAAUUUCUCUGAAAAAAUUUUGAAUAAAACAAUUGACAUGAAAAAUUGAAGUGUUAUGCUUAUCCCAAUUUAUUACAAUUGGAGAUUGUUGUCUCUUUAUUCUGCUGUUUACAAAAAUACAAACGAUGGGCUAAACGUGUUCAAAUAAGUUAAGUAGCUAAGGGAAUAAAUAUCAAGUAUGUGAUAAUUUAUUAUUUACGUUUUUGACUUCAAAACACUACUCAAGUUCAAUGAGAAAGAUUUUACCCGAACUUAACAGUUGAGCAAAGAAAAAUAAAUAAAAUAGAUAUAUAAAUCUAUAUACCGUCGCGUUACAGUAUUCCAAAAUUACCUUUUUAAAACGUUAGCUUCCUCACGACAGAGACAAUAAAAUGCAUUAUCUGA